GUGAGGAAUAUUGGUCAAUGGGCGGGAGCCUGAACCAGCCAAGUCGCGUGAAGGAAGAAGGAUCUAUGGUUCGUAAACUUCUUUUGCAGGGGAAUAAAGUGCAGGACGUGUCCUGUUUUGUAUGUACACUGCGAAUAAGGAUCGGCUAACUUCGUGCCAGCAGCCGCGGUAAUACGGAGGAUCCGAGCGUUAUCCGGAUUUAUUGGGUUUAAAGGGUGCGUAGGUGGUUUGAUAAGUCAGCGGUGAAAAUUUGCAGCUUAACUGUCAGAAUGCCGUUGAAACUGUCGGACUUGAGUGUAAAUGAGGUAGGCGUAAUGCUUGGUGUAUCGGUGAAAUACAUAGAUAUCACGCAGAACUCCGAUUGCGAGGACAGCUUACUAAGCUACAACAGAGACUGAAGCACGAAAGCGUGAGGAGCAAACAGGAUUAGAUACCCGUGUAGUCC
rnacentral:rRNA from 1 species